rnacentral:lncRNA from 1 species
AGGUGUGGAGGCACACACCUUUAGUCCCAGAAUUCAGGAGGCAGUGACAGGCAGAUCUCUAGUCCAGCCUGGUCUACAGAGUGAGUUCUAGAAUAGGGCUACACAGAGAAACCCUGUCUCAAAAAAUAAAAAAUGAAAAUCCAAAAACAAAAACAAAAAAGGAAUCUUUACCUCUAAGAAUAACAGUAUUCUGUUGUAUAGCUACCAUGUGGUUAUAAUAUUGUGGGAAUUUAACAUUGCUUACAUGUCAGCGUGUAAUACUAAGUUCAUAUUCCAAUGUUCCCACUUAACCCAGUAAUUGCAUUUGUCUGAGGUCACUCUUGGCAUUUAUUAUCCUGGUUGUGUCACCUUACUCUCCUUUAUUCUGAAAUGGUUUCUUAGGCAUUCCUUUCUUAAAUUACAGUUUGUUCAUUUAGAGCGUGUAUGUCUGUGUGUACGUCCUUGCCAUGGCACAUGUGUAGAGAUCAAAGGGCAGCUUUUGGGAGUCAGUUCUCUCCUCCCACUGUGUGGGUCUCAGGAACUGAACUCGGCUGUCAGGAUUAGUGACAAGUGUGUGCGAGUGAUGUCACCAGGCCCUUUGUGUCUGUGUGUCUGUCCAGUGGUGGCGUCCUCUUCACUGCCUCGGUUAUUCUGCUGAGUUUGCCCCACUGCACUGUGCCAGUCCCCUUCAGGGUAGACUGAAGCAUAGGGUUUUGAAUGAGCCUGGAGUCAGGGGUGACAGGCUCCUCAGUGUCUCACAGCAGGAGGUAUGUGCUGUCAGCCUCUUGCUAACUUUCAUCUCUUGAGAUCAUUUCCAUUGAAUUUUUUUCACUUGAGAAAGUCUGUUUUCACUCUGGCCGGAGGUGGCUUUGAGUCUGCCAGACUGUUUCCCAGAGACUUAGCCUCCUUUGAUGGUUCCUGAUGCUUAUAGAACUGUCUGGAUUCUGAAAGGAACACUUUGUAGAAAGAGACCUUGGGAAGGAUGGAAUGAAGCAGGGAAGCCAAUAGGGAGGUCCGAACAAGGGAUGAUGACAGCUGACUGGUCCUGAUGCAGUAGAUGCAGGGAUGGAGAACAGGGACCAGUUCUGUUUGUAGUUUGAAGAGUCUCUUAGAUUAAAUUGAGU